rnacentral:rRNA from 1 species
GCCUACCAUGGUGGUAAUGGGUAACGGGGAAUUAGGGUUCGAUUCCGGAGAGGGAGCCUGAGAAACGGCUACCACAUCCAAGGAAGGCAGCAGGCGCGCAAAUUACCCAAUCCCGACACGGGGAGGUAGUGACAAUAAAUAACAAUACGGGGCUCUUUCGGGUCUCGUAAUUGGAAUGAGUACAAUUUAAAUCCCUUAACGAGGAACAAUUGGAGGGCAAGUCUGGUGCCAGCAGCCGCGGUAAUUCCAGCUCCAAUAGCGUAUAUUAAAGUUGUUGCAGUUAAAAAGCUCGUAGUUGAAUUUCGGGAUUGGCGCAUCGGUCGUGCCUUACGGGGUAUGAACUGGUGCAGUCAAUUUCUCACCUUCUGGAGAACCGCGAUGUCCUUAAUUGGGUGCCGCGGGGAACCAGGACCUUUACUUUGAAAAAAUUAGAGUGUUUAAAGCAGGCAUUUUUGCUUGAAUACAUUAGCAUGGAAUAAUAAAAUAGGACGGCAUGGUUCUAUUUUGUUGGUUUCUAGGACCACCGUAAUGAUUAAUAGGGAUAGUUGGGGGCAUUAGUAUUCAAUUGUCAGAGGUGAAAUUCUUGGAUUUAUUGAAGACUAACUACUGCGAAAGCAUUUGCCAAGGAUGUUUUCAUUAAUCAAGAACGAAAGUUAGGGGAUCGAAGACGAUCAGAUACCGUCGUA